AAAUUGGGGAAGAACUACAGGAUUCCCCUAGUAACUGCGAGUGAAGCGGGAAAAGCUCAAAUUUAAAAUCUGGCGGUCUUUGGCCGUCCGAGUUGUAGUCUGGAGAAGUGCUUUCCGCGCUGGACCGUGUAUAAGUCUCUUGGAACAGAGCGUCAUAGAGGGUGAGAAUCCCGUCUUUGACACGGACUACCAGUGCUUUGUGAUGCGCUCUCAAAGAGUCGAGUUGUUUGGGAAUGCAGCUCAAAAUGGGUGGUGAAUUCCAUCUAAAGCUAAAUAUUGGCGAGAGACCGAUAGCGAACAAGUACCGUGAGGGAAAGAUGAAAAGCACUUUGGAAAGAGAGUUAAACAGUACGUGAAAUUGCUGAAAGGGAAACGCUUGAAGUCAGUCGCGUUGUCCGGAACUCAGCCUUGCUUUCGCUUGGUGCACUUUCCGGAUGACGGGUCAGCAUCGAUUUUGACCGUCGGAAAAGGGCUGGAGUAAUGUGGCACCUCCGGGUGUGUUAUAGACUCCGGUCGCAUACGGCGGUUGGGAUCGAGGAACGCAGCGCGCCGCAAGGCAGGGGUUCGCCCACUUUCGCGCUUAGGAUGCUGGCAUAAUGGCUUUAAACGACCCCGUCUUGAAACACGGACCCAAGGAGUCUAACAUACCUGCGAGUGUUUGGGUGGCAAACCCGAGCGCGUAAUGAAAGUUGAAAGUUGAGAUCCCUGUCGUGGGGAGCACCGACGCCCGGACCUGACGUUCUCUGACGGAUCCCGCGGUAGAGCAUGUAUGUUGGGACCCGAAAGAUGGUGAACUAUGCCUGAAUAGGGUGAAGCAUAGGAAACUCUUGGUGGAGGCUCGUGCCGAUUCUGACUUGCAAAUCGAUCGUCAAUUUGGGUAAAGGGGGCGAAAGACUAAUGAAACAUCUAGUAGCUGGUUCCUGCCGAACUUUUCCCUCAGGUAACCAAAACUCCUUAACAGAUUUUAUUUUGGUAAAGCGAAUGAAUUAGAUGCCUUGGGGGUUGAACAAACC
rnacentral:rRNA from 1 species